UGCAACCCGCCCACAUGAAGUUGGAGUUGCUAGUAAUCGCGGAUCAGAAUGCCGCGGUGAAUACGUUCCCGGGCCUUGUACACACCGCCCGUCACACCAUGGGAGUUGGGAGCACCCGAAGCCGGUGAGCUGACCGCAAGGAGGCAGCCGUCGAAGGUGAGACCGAUGACUGGGGUGAAGUCGUAACAAGGUAGC
rnacentral:rRNA from 1 species